CAGAGUUGUCACCACGAGGCCCGGCGGACGGGUGCACACUGGCAGGAAUGGGCACGCGGGCACAGACGCCUAGGGGCAGCUGGGGCAGGAAGCCAUUUUCUGGGUUGGAUUGAACCUGUUAGGACUGUCAGGGAAAAAAAAAACCUGUCUCACGCUGGUCCUACCACCAAAGAGGAUUGGAUCAUGUGCUGGGAAGACUCAGAGUGUCUGCUUUCUGGGAUGGACGUCUUCCAGCUUGGUCCUCAAGCAACUUCCCUCAUGGUGGCAAAAAGGCCCCCAGAGUUCCGACCCUCACGACUGCUACCAUAUCUCUCCUUGAGGAUCUUUUAGACA